AAUCAUAUACCUCCGUGUACGAUGGCCAAAC
rnacentral:sRNA from 1 species